AGUUGCAACUUCAGGGCCAUAGCAGAAGCACUCAUGGUGCAGCCUGUCAGUUUCCAACAAAUCUGCUAAAACUGCAAAUUCUGCU
rnacentral:ribozyme from 1 species